rnacentral:rRNA from 1 species
GAUGAACGCUAGCGACAGGCUUAACACAUGCAAGUCGAGGGGCAGCACAGGUAGCAAUACCGGGUGGCGACCGGCGCACGGGUGAGUAACGCGUAUGCAACUUGCCUAUCAGAGGGGGAUAACCCGGCGAAAGUCGGACUAAUACCGCAUGAAGCAGGGGCCCCGCAUGGGGAUAUUUGCUAAAGAUUCAUCGCUGAUAGAUAGGCAUGCGUUCCAUUAGGCAGUUGGCGGGGUAACGGCCCACCAAACCGACGAUGGAUAGGGGUUCUGAGAGGAAGGUCCCCCACAUUGGUACUGAGACACGGACCAAACUCCUACGGGAGGCAGCAGUGAGGAAUAUUGGUCAAUGGCCGAGAGGCUGAACCAGCCAAGUCGCGUGAGGGAUGAAGGUUCUAUGGAUCGUAAACCUCUUUUAUAAGGGAAUAAAGUGCGGGACGUGUCCCGUUUUGUAUGUACCUUAUGAAUAAGGAUCGGCUAACUCCGUGCCAGCAGCCGCGGUAAUACGGAGGAUCCGAGCGUUAUCCGGAUUUAUUGGGUUUAAAGGGUGCGUAGGCGGCCUUUUAAGUCAGCGGUGAAAGUCUGUGGCUCAACCAUAGAAUUGCCGUUGAAACUGGGGGGCUUGAGUAUGUUUGAGGCAGGCGGAAUGCGUGGUGUAGCGGUGAAAUGCAUAGAUAUCACGCAGAACCCCGAUUGCGAAGGCAGCCUGCCAAGCCAUUACUGACGCUGAUGCACGAAAGCGUGGGGAUCAAACAGGAUUAGAUACCCUGGUAGUCCACGCAGUAAACGAUGAUCACUAGCUGUUUGCGAUACACUGUAAGCGGCACAGCGAAAGCGUUAAGUGAUCCACCUGGGGAGUACGCCGGCAACGGUGAAACUCAAAGGAAUUGACGGGGGCCCGCACAAGCGGAGGAACAUGUGGUUUAAUUCGAUGAUACGCGAGGAACCUUACCCGGGUUUGAACGCAUUCGGACCGAGGUGGAAACACCUUUUCUAGCAAUAGCCGUUUGCGAGGUGCUGCAUGGUUGUCGUCAGCUCGUGCCGUGAGGUGUCGGCUUAAGUGCCAUAACGAGCGCAACCCUUGCCACUAGUUACUAACAGGUUAGGCUGAGGACUCUGGUGGGACUGCCAGCGUAAGCUGCGAGGAAGGCGGGGAUGACGUCAAAUCAGCACGGCCCUUACAUCCGGGGCGACACACGUGUUACAAUGGCGUGGACAAAGGGAUGCCACCUGGCGACAGGGAGCGAAUCCCCAAACCACGUCUCAGUUCGGAUCGGAGUCUGCAACCCGACUCCGUGAAGCUGGAUUCGCUAGUAAUCGCGCAUCAGCCAUGGCGCGGUGAAUACGUUCCCGGGCCU